rnacentral:rRNA from 1 species
AGCAGCCGCGGUAAUUCCAGCUCCAAUAGCGUAUAUUAAAGUUGUUGCAGUUAAAAAGCUCGUAGUUGAAUUUCGGGGUCAGUAGGUUGGUCGUGCCACUGGUAUGCACUGGUCUCACUGAUUCCUCCUUCCUGAUGAACCGUAAUGCCAUUAAUUUGGUGUUGCGGGGAAUCUGGACUGUUACUUUGAAAAAAUUAGAAUGUUUAAAGCAGGCACACGCUUGAAUACAUUAGCAUGGAAUAAUGAAAUAGGACGUUUGACCCUAUUUUGUUGGUUUCUAGGAUCGACGUAAUGAUUAAUAGGGAUAGUCGGGGGCAUUAGUAUUCAAUUGUCAGAGGUGAAAUUCUUGGAUUUAUUGAAGACUAACUACUGCGAAAGCAUUUGCCAAGGAUGUUUUCAUUAAUCAAGAACGAGAGUUAGGGGACCGAAGACGAUCAGAUACCGUCGUAGUCUUAACCAUAAACUAUGCCGACUAGGGAUCGGAUGAUGUUAAUUUUUUAAUGA